ACUUCCCCUAGAGGUGAUACAGAUGUGGCUGCUGUGUCACAUGUGUGUCAGUAGGCGGCAGAGAGGGGAGAGGCUAUGUCUACACUUAGUGUUAUGACCCAUGAACAUCAAAAUGAUUACUAGCCUAAUAUU